rnacentral:misc_RNA from 1 species
GAUGAAGAACGUAGUGAAAUGCGAUACGUAAUGUGAAUUGCAGAAUUCAGUGAAUCAUCGAAUCUUUGAACGCAUAUUGCGCUCUUUGGUAUUCCGAAGAGCAUGCUUGUUUGAGUAUCAGUAAACACCUCAAAGACUUCAAUUUGUUUUGAAUGGCUUUGGACUUGAGCAAUCCCAACACCAGUCUUUACGAUCGGUGGAGGGUUGCUUGAAAUGCAGGUGCAGCUGGACAUUCUCCUGAGCUAAAAGCAUAUUUAUUUAGUCCCGUCAAACGGAUUAUUACUUUUGCUGCAGCUAACAUAAAGGGAGUUUGACCGUAUUGGCUGACUGAUGCAGGAUUUCACAAGGGUCGGCAACGAUUCUUGUAAAACUCGAUCUCAAAUCAAGUAAGACUGCCCGCUGAACUUAAGCAUAUCAAUAAGCGGAGGA